GCAGGUGCGUCUGAUGAUGAAAGCCCACUCCUUCGUCAGAGAGAACGUCCCACGAGUCCUGAGCUGGGCUAAAGAAAAACACAGCCCCGGCCCUGUGGUGCCUCAGGUCUCUCAGUAUCUCUACUUCCUGUUUGCACCCACUCUCAUCUACAGAGACAAAUACCCCAGGAACCCGGUGAUCAGGUGGAGCUACGUGGCUUCAAAGUUCCUUCAGGU